UACGUAGGGGGCAAGCGUUGUCCGGAUUUAUUGGGCGUAAAGAGCGUGUAGGCGGCCAUUCAGGUCAGCUGUGAAAACUCGAGGCUCAACCUCGAGACGUCGGUUGAAACCGUUUGGCUAGAGUCCGGAAGAGGAGAGUGGAAUUCCCGGUGUAGCGGUAGAAUGCGCAGAGUAUCGGGAAGAACACCCGUGGCGAAGGCGGCUCUCUGGGACGGUACUGACGCUGAGACGCGAAAGCGUGGGGGAGCGAACAGG
rnacentral:rRNA from 1 species